AGGAGAGAACAAGAAACGCUAGCGUGAGGGACGUUUUGAACACGAUGAGCGGCCAACAGGAACUGCUUGCACAAACAAUGUUAGAGAGAAUCCACACACGGCUCCAGCAUAUUGUCUGUCAGCAACCCCUUGACCUGGAUUACCUUGAAUUUGUGUGUUUUCAGGAGGCUGUUCUAUUUAGUGCUGCCUCUAACCAGGUUCUCAUCCCAAAAGGCAUUUUAGAUGCACUCACAGAGCUGCACAAGUUGGUUAAAGGCGCGGUCACACUAGACUUUAAACGUGCGAAAAUAUUUCGGACACCGCUGCGAAUAUCGGCGGGAGCAAUAAAACGGUCUUUCCUCAAUUAUCAAAACAUGGAUUAAUAUGUGCUUGUACUGUGUCUUUUGCGACGGCGUCAAAAGCGUCUUAUUAUAUUGUACUCCCCAUCUCUCUCUCUCUUUAUAAAUAUUCUUGUUCUUGUACACCCUAAGCAAUAAAAAAUUAUAAAACA